rnacentral:rRNA from 1 species
ACCCGCACAAGCAGCGGAGCGUGUGGUUUAAUUCGUUGCUACACGAAGAACCUUACCUGGGUUUGACAUAUAGGUUGUAGGGAACUGAAAGGGACGACCCUUCGGGGAGCCUAUACAGGUGUUGCAUGGCUGUCGUCAGCUCGUGUCGUGAGAUGUUCGGUUAAGUCCGCUAACGAGCGCAACCCUCGUCGUAUGUUAUAUGUGUCAUACGAGACUGCCGGUAAAAGCCGGAGGAAGGUGAGGAUGAUGUCAAGUCAGCAUGACCUUUAUAUCCAGGGCUACACACACGCUACAAUGGUCUGUACAAUGGGUAGCCAAGCCGCGAGGCGGAGCCAAUCCUGAAAGCAGGCCUCAGUUCAGAUUGCAGUCUGCAACUCGACUGCAUGAAGCCGGAGUUGCUAGUAACCGCAGGUCAGCAAUACUGCGGUGAAUACGUUCCCGGGUCUU